UCCCUCUAGGGAGGUUAAAGAAGGGCUAAGUGGACCCGGAAACUCCGCUCUUUGGGGUGGUCUCCGCUCUGGGAGGCGGGGACUCCCCUCUGAUAUGGGUGUUCAUUGUUCUGGCCCCAUUGGAAUCUAUCCCCCAGAGACAACUUCUUUUUGCAAAGUCCUGCAGGAUAGAAGAGGGGGCAGUGCACAAUCAAUUUCACCGUCAAAGGUGACAUCUCUAGUUUUAUGAGGGGAGAGGGAAGACAGAAAGGAUCAAGUGGGGAUGGGUUAGGCACACACCUUAGGAGAUGCAAACCUGAGUGUUAUGAAACCUUUCUCUGUGUCUGGAGCUGAAUUUGAGGAUGUAAAGAUGACCAGGACACGGAAGGGAAGACUAGUUUUGGGCAGGGGAUUGUGAGUGAAGUUACUAACAGGAAGAACUAGCGAAUCUUGUAGAAAUGUGUGGAAUUUUCAUAGAACUUCAAGUGCAUUAUCAGGAAACGCAGUGAAACUGACAGUAUCAGUGUCGCAGCGUUCCUGCCUCCUGGCAUGGCAAUCCUCUUCCCUGAGACUGGCAGUUGCUCAAGAUGGAAAGCUCCCAGGACCAGACCCGAGCGACAGCCGGCUACGCCGUCCGCUUGCCUGAGCAAAUAAACGCGUGUCUUCAAAAAACUA